CCUACGGGGGGCUGCAGUGGGGAAUAUUGCACAAUGGGCGCAAGCCUGAUGCAGCCAUGCCGCGUGUGUGAAGAAGGCCUUCGGGUUGUAAAGCACUUUCAGCGGGGAGGAAGGCGGUGAGGUUAAUAACCUCAUCGAUUGACGUUACCCGCAGAAGAAGCACCGGCUAACUCCGUGCCAGCAGCCGCGGUAAUACGGAGGGUGCAAGCGUUAAUCGGAAUUACUGGGCGUAAAGCGCACGCAGGCGGUCUGUCAAGUCGGAUGUGAAAUCCCCGGGCUCAACCUGGGAACUGCAUUCGAAACUGGCAGGCUAGAGUCUUGUAGAGGGGGGUAGAAUUCCAGGUGUAGCGGUGAAAUGCGUAGAGAUCUGGAGGAAUACCGGUGGCGAAGGCGGCCCCUUGGACAAAGACUGACGCUCAGGUGCGAAAGCGUGGGGAGCAAACAGGAUUAGAUACCCGAGUAGUC
rnacentral:rRNA from 1 species